rnacentral:lncRNA from 1 species
GGGGAUACUCAGGCGUAAAAUUAAGUUAUGGUCAAACACAUCGUAACACCAAGUUAGACGCUCCCUUGAGAGGUAAAUGUUGCCAACUACAUGCUUCUCUAGUUAUAUAAACUUCAGCCACGAAACUCAGUUGCACUCGGUGAUCGACUUGUCAGGGCUCCCCCACAAACAAGCGGCUGCUGGAAAAGAGUGGGUAAGUUGUGUUUGGUCUCUUUGCUAAAGAAACCAAACAAAGCUUAAAAGAUGUUUGAUGGCUAGUACUAUGGCUGGGACGCUGUAUGUACUGUUGAUGAAGUUAGGUGCUGUUCUGAGCAUUAUUUGUGGCUUUUUAGUUGAGAUUUGCACAUGGAGCUAUAAGCCGCUGUGUAUUGCUAUUGUGCGGUCAUUGCUAAAGAUGGUACAACUAGAGAAACAAGCAGUCGGCAACAUUCAUCUCUUGAGGGGGUGUCUAAUUUGGUGUUACGAUGUGUUUGACCAUAAAUUAAAUGUAUGCUGGAAUAUCCCUUUAGAUGUUCUGAGACCUGAUACCUAAAUUGAAGAAUUUCUUUUUUUAACAUAAGCUUUUUAAAAAGUGUUUUUGCAGAGACACGUGUGAGCAAAAAGAAAUCAUAUUAAAACAGGUGAAAAAGGGCCAUCUGAAAACAAACUUGCUGCUGGUUUGGAUAAGGGUGCACCUUGGUGAUCUGUAACUUCCUUUUUUCGACACAAAGUUAAGGGUGAUGGCUGCUGACCCCAGAUGGUCAGAGAUGGAUCUGCUAAAAUAAAAAAAGCAAUAAUAGAAAUAAUGACUAAAUAAAUAAUGCAAGGAUGCCCUUUCUCCUAGCCCCCCUCUCUUUUUCUGACAUUCACUUACCCAAUUAUUAUGUAAUGCCUUUUCCCCUUUUACUUAUCCACGAUCUGCUCUCUCCACCCUUCUGAUAAUGCUGCAUUUUUGUAGCAAAAGAAAGCUAUCAUCAACCUUUUAUUGUAGCAUAAAAGUCAGAGGAGCUGAUUUUAUACAAUACAAAUAUUAAUCUAAGAGGAAAUUAUUCCUUUUAAGACGUGGCGAUCACAACUCUUGCUUUAGUUGAUUUCCAACCCUGGCUCCUUGGCUACUGUGUCCCUGGGCAACAAUUGUGGCUGAAUUUCUAAACAAAGUGACAAAGGCUAUGAGAGUCUUAAGACUGAAACUUUUAAAAAGGAAAACCCCAGUUGCUGAAUCCUGUUCUCCUCUCCCCUUAUUCCGCCUCUACAAAACGCUUCACUUGUCAGCGCGGGCUCCCAAGCUCCUUUAAUAAACGAAAAUGUCGGGCUUUGAGUGGCAGAGUGUGACUGUUUAAAACCAUUGGGAUUCUGGUGUAAUCCUACAGAAGACGCGGGCAUAACCCGACUUAAAAGUCGUCUUGUCGCUCCACAUUCAACCGGAGAACCUGCAGAGGAGGGGCUAAGGAUUGUAAGAGAGGCUCUCGUGUAAGAAAAGAAUCAAGUGUACAUGUAGGCUUUCCAGGGAACCAGGUCCUAUUUGAUACAUGUAGCGUGGAGAGACUCGUGUGCUCUGGUGAGGCCUUGUAUCUGACACUUAAAAUAGAGUGAAAUGUGGGUUACUUCCACUGAGGAAGUCCCAUGGAUAAAACUUUGAGGACUGUCAGUCAGCAGAUACAGCGUCAAGUGAACAGGUUGCUUUGGAACCAGUGAAAAGGGGACCAGAGUGUUCAUUAUUGAAUGGUGGAUGUAUUAUCAUAAGUGGACUUUGUAAAGCACUGCAGAGACCCAAUGCUUGGGGACUGAGACUGGCUGAAGGUUUAGCUAAAUGCAGCUGUAGAUCAUUGCACAGAUAGCUGCAAUCUUUGAAGUUGUUUUCAUGUUAAAGGGGGAAAAAAACAACUUUCCCAAACUUCGCCUUCUUCUUUUUCCUCUUCCCUUUGUCUUCUUAGCAGACAGCUGUCUCAUACAAGAUGCUGCUUCCACAGGAGACCUCACUCCUUUCGCUCACACGCUCGCUGGCUCUGAGUUGCCAUGGAAAAAAAUAAAACCCAGAAAUGGGGCAGAAAACAGUUCAAUGAGGGAGCAGAGACUUUGGAGGGUCUGGAGGGAGGCAGCAAGUUUCUAGGGCCCAUCCUGUCAAACCAUCAAGCUCUUUUGAUGCGUGGAAAUGGAAAGGAAGAGGGAGUGAGAGAAAUUUUGGAAAAACUGAGAAUGAAAGAAGAAUAAAAAAAUGGGAGGAGGAAACUAAUCUGUUGACUGAAGUAAAAUUUGUGCAAAGGGAGUUGACAGCCUUUCAAAAAAAAACUGAUAUAUGUUACCAAAAGAAAUUAAAGUCUUGGGAAUUUUUAUAAGCAGUGAGGAAAAACAAGAUUGAGCGCCUAAUGAAAUACGAUUAAGACAGUCAAUAUCUUGCAGAGGGGGAAAUGACUCAUUGAAAUACAGAAAAAAAUCUGCAAGUUACUCUGUCUCCAAUAUAAGAAUUAACUGUCUAUUAUUUAGGUAUCAAUAAUCCAAAUGAGUACAGUGUCGAUGAUUAAUUACCAUACACAGUCAGUCAGGAGUGAGUGCAAAGAGACUGGCUGGCACCAAAGGCCUAUCUGUCAAACCAACAAAUCAAAAUGGGAUCAUAAAAUCAAAAGUAAUGGGAUAUUAUCUGUGGAGAAUUUAACUGUGGACGCUGUAGCUGAAAUAUGAUGCUUUGAUUAAUUUUCGGGUAUAUUUAACACCCAACAACGCUAGUGGAGAUUGAACUGGGGUCUCACUGUGAGUUAAAGCACAAAAGGACAAAACUGUACGCGUUCCCAAAAGAGUCAUCAGGGACAGAGUAACAUAUUCAGAAUUACACCACCACCUUAAGGGAAAUUACUCAUACAAGAUGAUCUCACUGAUUAUAAAUGUGGCCCAAAGCCCUGCAGUAAUGCAGCAAAGAGGAUGAAAUAUGCACACAAACAGAUAUGGAUGAAUAAAUAAAUCCGUAAAAGUUUGAAGCUCUCUGACACAUCAGCGGGGACUUGCUGGUGACAGCCCCUCCUCACUUUUUGCAGGGGGUUUUGAAGUAGCUCUGUCAGGAGGAGAGCCCUCAGAGGUUUUAGGGUAAAACACCUGUCUGAAAUCAAAUUCCCUUUUAUUUCCCUUAAUCCCACAGACUGAGAGGCGCAGAAAUGGGACUCCAUUGUCUUUUACAAACACAGCAUCAUGCAUGGUUGUGGAUACUAUUCUGUUGAAUUUGUAAGGUUUUUUUUUUUCUCUUUUCAAUUUGGUACUCUUCUGGGGCUUUGUGUGCAUUGCCAGGCUGCUGGGCCAGAUAUUUUAAAUAGAUCCUAUCAGUAAAAAGUGUGUCAAGUCUGGGUUGUAAAUUCAGCUUUUCUUUUGUCUUUUAGACUCUAUAGCUGCUGCUGUUGCACAUGUCCCUGACUGAGUUCAUGUAUUUAAGAUUUUUACAUUUUAACCAUACGACAGCAGCUGUUCUGUAAAGUGCAUCUAGCAGUUGGAGUGUCAGUGUCUACAUGCACAUGUGCAUAAACAUAUGUGCAGUACUGUUUGUAUAUGACAAGUUGGAUGCAUUCAUGUCCCAUCAGUGCAUAUUUCUAACUUAAUAUCCGCCCAAGAGUUUCUGUGCUCCCUUGUGUGGCUGCAUUCCCUAAUAUUAAGAUUAUCAUGGUUGUUAUUGUAAAUACUGACGUUGUUGUAACACUGAACCAAAAAAAGACCCAGAUGCAGACUCACAGGCUGGCAAAAUCAAAGUCCAUUUAAUCAAAAAAAGAGUCGGUACACAGGAUCCAAAAGAGCACAGGCAGAGGUAUCCAAAUCG